UUUACUUUUUUGGAAAUUAAU
rnacentral:snRNA from 1 species